rnacentral:rRNA from 1 species
GACGAACGCUGGCGGCGUGCUUAACACAUGCAAGUCGAGCGGUAAGGCCUUUCGGGGUACACGAGCGGCGAACGGGUGAGUAACACGUGGGUGAUCUGCCCUGCACUCUGGGAUAAGCCUGGGAAACUGGGUCUAAUACCGGAUAGGACUCCUGGCUUCACGGUUGGGGGUGGAAAGCUUUUGCGGUGUGGGAUGGGCCCGCGGCCUAUCAGCUUGUUGGUGGGGUAAUGGCCUACCAAGGCGACGACGGGUAGCCGGCCUGAGAGGGUGACCGGUAACACGGGGACUGAGAUACGGCCCAGACUCCUACGGGAGGCAGCAGUGGGGAAUAUUGCACAAUGGGCGCAAGCCUGAUGCAGCGACGCCGCGUGAGGGAUGACGGCCUUCGGGUUGUAAACCUCUUUCCGCUAUGACGAAGCGCAAGUGACGGUAGUAGCAGAAGAAGGACCGGCCAACUACGUGCCAGCAGCCGCCGUAA